UGAGUGCAGUUCACAGUGAUUCUCCUCUCCUGCCUUCCUGAUUCCCCAUCCACUGCACUAUCUCACACACCCGUCCUCCACGAUGUGCAAGAGUGAAACUUCUACCAUGAGAAACAGAUCCAACUCUUUCAGGACUUCUUAAUCUCUUGGAGCUUGUUCAAUUUUUUAAAAAUCCGGGGUUAUUCAAAAGAAGAAGAAGAAGGGGAAGAGGAAGAAGAGGAGGAAGAGGAUGAGGAGGAUGAAGAGGAGGAGGAGGAGGAGGAAGAAGAAGAAGAAGUAGCAGCAGCUGCCGUAAAACACUCAUUACUGGCAUGGAUAUAUCCCUUUCACCUUGAGUAGUAAGCCAAAUGAGAAAAUCCUUCUACCCAGAUUCCA